rnacentral:rRNA from 1 species
ACGCUAUCACUCCUACGGGAGGCAGCAGGUGGAUAUGCACAAUGGGGGAAACCUGAUGCAGCCAUGCCGCGUGUGUGAAGAAGGCCUUCGGGUUGUAAAGCACUUUCAGUAGGGAGGAAGGUAGUGUAGUUAACACCUGCAUUAUUUGACGUUACCUACAGAAGAAGCACCGGCUAACUCCGUGCCAGCAGCCGCGGUAAUACGGAGGGUGCGAGCGUUAAUCGGAAUUACUGGGCGUAAAGCGCAUGCAGGCGGCCUGUUAAGUCAGAUGUGAAAGCCCGGGGCUUAACCUCGGAAUUGCAUUUGAAACUGGCAGGCUAGAGUCUUGUAGAGGGGGUAGAAUUUCAGGUGUAGCGGUGAAAUGCGUAGAGAUCUGAAGGAAUACCAGUGGCGAAGGCGGCCCCUGGACAAAGACUGACGCUCAGAUGCGAAAGCGUGGGGAGCAAACAGGAUUAGAUACCCUGGUAG